UACGUAGGGUGCAAGCGUUGUCCGGAAUUAUUGGGCGUAAAGAGCUCGUAGGCGGUCUGUCGCGUCUGCUGUGAAAACUCAGGGCUUAACCCUGAGCUUGCAGUGGGUACGGGCAGACUAGAGUGCGGUAGGGGAGACUGGAAUUCCUGGUGUAGCGGUGAAAUGCGCAGAUAUCAGGAGGAAUACCGAUGGCGAAGGCAGGUCUCUGGGCUAUAACUGACGCUCAUGCACGAAAGCGUGGGGAGCAAACAGG
rnacentral:rRNA from 1 species